GUGGGGAAUUUUGGACAAUGGGCGCAAGCCUGAUCCAGCAAUGCCGCGUGUGUGAAGAAGGCCUUCGGGUUGUAAAGCACUUUUGUCCGGAAAGAAAUCUCCUGGGUUAAUACCUCGGGGGGAUGACGGUACCGGAAGAAUAAGCACCGGCUAACUACGUGCCAGCAGCCGCGGUAAUACGUAGGGUGCGAGCGUUAAUCGGAAUUACUGGGCGUAAAGCGUGCGCAGGCGGCUAUGCAAGACAGAUGUGAAAUCCCCGGGCUCAACCUGGGAACUGCAUUUGUGACUGCAUGGCUAGAGUGCGGCAGAGGGAGGUGGAAUUCCGCGUGUAGCAGUGAAAUGCGUAGAGAUGCGGGGGAACACCGAUGGCGAAGGCAGUCCCCUGGGCCUGUACUGACGCUCAUGCACGAAAGCGUGGGGAGCAAACAGGAUUAGAAACCCUUGUAGUCC
rnacentral:rRNA from 1 species